rnacentral:rRNA from 1 species
GACGAACGCUGGCGGCGUGCUUAACACAUGCAAGUCGAACGGAAAGGCCCUGCUUUUGUGGGGUGCUCGAGUGGCGAACGGGUGAGUAACACGUGAGUAACCUGCCCUUGACUUUGGGAUAACUUCAGGAAACUGGGGCUAAUACCGGAUAGGAGCUCCUGCUGCAUGGUGGGGUUUGGAAAGUUUCGGCGGUUGGGGAUGGACUCGCGGCUUAUCAGCUUGUUGGUGGGGUAGUGGCUUACCAAGGCUUUGACGGGUAGCCGGCCUGAGAGGGUGACCGGCGACAUUGGGACUGAGAGACGGCGCAGACUCGUACGGGAGGCAGCAGUGGGGAAUAUUGCACAAUGGGCGGAAGCCUGAUGAAGCAACGCCGCGUGCGGGAUGAAGGCCUUCGGGUUGUAAACCGCUUUCGCCUGUGACGAAGCGUGAGUGACGGUAAUGGGUAAAGAAGCACCGGCUAACUACGUG